rnacentral:rRNA from 1 species
GAUGAACGCUGCGGCCUUCCUAAUACAUUCAAGUCGAGCGAACAGACGAGGAGCUUUCUCCUCUUAUGGUAGCGGCGGGCGGGUUAGUAACACGUUGAUAACCUACCUAUAAGACCUGGAUAACUUCGGGAAACCGGAGCUAAUACCGGAUAACAUUUUGAACCGCCUGGUUUAACAGUUAAAGACGGGCUUUCUUUCACUUAUUGGUGGAUCCGCGCCGCAUUAGCUAGUUGGUAAGGUAACGGCUUACCAAGGCAACGAUGCGUAGCCGACCUGAGAGGGUGAUCGGCCACACUGGAACUGAGACACGGUCCAGACUCCUACGGGAGGCAGCAGUAGGGAAUCUUCCGCAAUGGGCGAAAGCCUGACGGAGCAACGCCGCGUGAGUGAAGAAGGUCUUCGGAUCGUAAAACUCUGUUAUUAGGGAAGAACAAAUGUGUAAGUAACUAUGCACGUCUUGACGGUACCUAAUCAGAAAGCCACGGCUAACUACGUG